rnacentral:rRNA from 1 species
AUGGCGGCCGGCGACGUGGGGAUGGUGGUGGUCGCCCCUGCGGCCUCGUUCCACCACACGCACCACCAUCACCACCACCACGACGCGGCCGCCGCGGCCGCUGCCUCCGACGCCAUCUUCCCGCUGCUCUCCGCGGGCUCCUGCGUGCUCGACCCCGAGGCGGCCAAGGCCGCGGCCGCCAGCGGCGGCAUCCAGUUCUGGCAGUCCGCGCAGCACCAUCAGCAGCAGCACUCGCCGUCGGCCGCGGGCGGCGGCGGCGGCAACCCUAACCCUAGCCUCGGCCCCUUCUACCUCAAGAAGCCCUUCCCGAUGCUCGACACCGGCGGCGACGGGUCCUCCGGCUCCGGCACCACCACCUGCCAGGACUGCGGCAACCAGGCCAAGAAGGACUGCACCCACAGCCGCUGCCGCACCUGCUGCAAGAGCCGCGGCUUCGACUGCUCCACGCACGUCAAGAGCACCUGGGUCCCCGCCGCCCGCCGCCGCGAGCGCCAGCACCUCGGCGGCUCCGCCUCGUCCCCCGCCACCGCCUCCACCGCCGCGGGAUCGAAGAAGCCUCGCCUCCUCUCCUCCCAGCAGGCCACCACGUCGUACACCUCCACCUCCAACGCCACCACGCCGCGCAGCUACGACACCACCUCCAGCCAUCAAGACGCAUCGUUCAGGGGGAACCUGCCGCGGCAGGUGCGCGCGCCGGCGGUGUUCAGGUGCGUGCGCGUGACGUCCGUCGACGACGGCGAGGACGAGUACGCGUACCAGGCCACGGUGACCAUCAACGGCCACGUCUUCAAGGGCUUCCUCUACGACCAGGGCGUGGACGACGGCCGCGCCAGCAAUGACAUCGACUCGAGCACCGGCGGCGCCGUGCCCAACAUGUCCGAGCUCCACCUCGGGGGCGGCGGCAAUGCCGCGAGGGGAGGCGGGGGUUCCUCCUCGAUGGCGCCCUCCGACAUGUACGGCGGCGGUGGCGCCGGAGGAGCAGGCGGAGGGGGAGGAGGCCAGCACAUACUCGGCGGCGGGUCCAGCUAUGGUAACACCAUGAACUGA